rnacentral:rRNA from 1 species
CCCUUAGAUGUUCUGGGCCGCACGCGCGCUACACUGAUGCGCUCAACGAGUUUACGACCUUGCCCGGAAGGGUUGGGUAAUCUUUUUAAAACGCAUCGUGAUGGGGAUAGAUUAUUGCAAUUAUUAAUCUUUAACGAGGAAUUCCCAGUAAGCGCGAGUCAUAAGCUCGCGUUGAUUACGUCCCUGCCCUUUGUACACACCGCCCGUCGCUACUACCGAUUGAACGGUUUAGUGAGGGCCUCGGAUUGGUCUCGGCCCGCUCUUUACCGGGCGGCGCCGUUGGUCGAGAAGACGCUCGAACUUGAUCGUUUAGAGGAAGUAAAAGUCGUAACA